UUGGCUUUUUAGACAACAGGGAUGCCCUAGUAACGGCGAGUGAAGCGGCAACAGCUCAAAUUUGAAAUCUGGCUCUUUUAGAGUCCGAGUUGUAAUUUGCAGAGGGCGCUUUGGCUUUGGCAGCGGUCCAAGUUCCUUGGAACAGGACGUCACAGAGGGUGAGAAUCCCGUACGUGGUCGCUGGCUAUUGCCGUGUAAAGCCCCUUCGACGAGUCGAGUUGUUUGGGAAUGCAGCUCUAAAUGGGAGGUACAUUUCUUCUAAAGCUAAAUAUUGGCCAGAGACCGAUAGCGCACAAGUAGAGUGAUCGAAAGAUGAAAAGCACUUUGGAAAGAGAGUCAAACAGCACGUGAAAUUGUUGAAAGGGAAGCGCUUGCAGCCAGACUUGCUUGCAGUUGCUCAUCCGGGCUUUUGCCCGGUGCACUCUUCUGUAGGCAGGCCAGCAUCAGUUUGGGCGGUAGGAUAAAGGUCUCUGUCACGUACCUCUCUUCGGGGAGGCCUUAUAGGGGAGGCGACAUACUACCAGCCUGGACUGAGGUCCGCGCAUCUGCUAGGAUGCUGGCGUAAUGGCUGUAAGCGGCCCGUCUUGAAACACGGACCAAGGAGUCUAACAUCUAUGCGAGUGUUUGGGUGUCAAGCCCGAGCGCGUAAUGAAAGUGAACGGAGGUAGGACCCCGCAAGGUGCACUAUCGACCGAUCCUGAUGUCUUCGGAAGGAUUUGAGUAAGAGCAUGGCUGUUGGGACCCGAAAGAUGGUGAACUAUGCUUGAAUAGGGUGAAGCCAGAGGAAACUCUGGUGGAGGCUCGCAGCGGUUCUGACGUGCAAAUCGAUCGUCAAUUUGGGCAUAGGGGCGAAAGACUAAUCGACUAUCUAGUAGCUGUCUGCGGAGUCCCCCCCUCAGGAACCGGCUCCAGAAAGUCUGAUAAGUCUUUCGCCCCUAUGCCCAUUGACGAUCGAUUGCACUAGACCCGAGCAACUCGCAAGUUCCUUCAGCUCACAGUCAGCUAGUUCAUGUUCGUCACAGCAUGUCUUACAAACUUCGAGAAAUACGAGCGUGCUAGUACGUGUUCCCUCGCAUCUCUUAAGACGCGUUGACCACAUCCUCCAUUACCCUCCGCUCGUAAGGGCGUCAUGAUCAACCCGUCAGAAGAGUAGC
rnacentral:rRNA from 1 species